rnacentral:rRNA from 1 species
AUUGAACGCUGGCGGCAGGCCUAACACAUGCAAGUCGAGCGGAUGAAGGGAGCUUGCUCCUGGAUUCAGCGGCGGACGGGUGGGUAAUGCCUAGGAAUCUGCCUGGUAGUGGGGGAUAACGUCCGGAAACGGGCGCUAAUACCGCAUACGUCCUGAGGGAGAAAGUGGGGGAUCUUCGGACCUCACGCUAUCAGAUGAGCCUAGGUCGGAUUAGCUAGUUGGUGGGGUAAAGGCCUACCAAGGCGACGAUCCGUAACUGGUCUGAGAGGAUGAUCAGUCACACUGGAACUGAGACACGGUCCAGACUCCUACGGGAGGCGGCAGUGGGGAAUAUUGGACAAUGGGCGAAAGCCUGAUCCAGCCAUGCCGCGUGUGUGAAGAAGGUCUUCGGAUUGUAAAGCACUUUAAGUUGGGAGGAAGGGCAGUAAGUUAAUACCUUGCUGUUUUGACGUUACCAACAGAAUAAGCACCGGCUAACUUCGUG